rnacentral:rRNA from 1 species
CCUACGGGUGGCAGCAGUGGGGAAUAUUGCGCAAUGGGCGAAAGCCUGACGCAGCAACGCCGCGUGCGGGAUGAAGGCCUUCGGGUUGUAAACCGCUUUCAGCAGGGAAGAAGCCGCAAGGUGACGGUACCUGCAGAAGAAGCACCGGCUAACUACGUGCCAGCAGCCGCGGUAAUACGUAGGGUGCAAGCGUUGUCCGGAUUUAUUGGGCGUAAAGAGCUCGUAGGCGGUUUGUUACGUCGGUUGUGAAAAUCCGGGGCUUAACCCCGGACCUGCAUCCGAUACGGGCAGACUUGAGUGUGGUAGGGGAGACUGGAAUUCCUGGUGUAGCGGUGAAAUGCGCAGAUAUCAGGAGGAACACCGAUGGCGAAGGCAGGUCUCUGGGCCACAACUGACGCUGAGGAGCGAAAGCGUGGGGAGCAAACAGGAUUAGAUACCCUAGUAGUC